GAUUGAACGCUGGCGGCAGGCCUAACCCAUGCAAGUCGAGCGGAUGACGGGAGCUUGCUCCUGGAUUCAGCGGCGGACGGGUGAGUAAUGCCUAGGAAUCUGCCUGGUAGUGGGGGAUAACGUCCGGAAACGGGCGCUAAUACCGCAUACGUCCUGAGGGAGAAAGUGGGGGAUCUUCGGACCUCACGCUAUCAGAUGAGCCUAGGUCGGAUUAGCUAGUUGGUGGGGUAAAGGCCUACCAAGGCGACGAUCCGUAACUGGUCUGAGAGGAUGAUCAGUCGCACUGGAACUGAGACACGGUCCAGACUCCUACGGGAGGCAGCAGUGGGGAAUAUUGGACAAUGGGCGAAAGCCUGAUCCAGCCAUGCCGCGUGUGUGAAGAAGGUCUUCGGAUUGUAAAGCACUUUAAGUUGGGAGGAAGGGCAGUAAGUUAAUACCUUGCUGUUUUGACGUUACCAACAGAAUAAGCACCGGCUAACUUCGUG
rnacentral:rRNA from 1 species